CUCCCUGUAGUGUAGUGGUUCAUCACGUUCGACUGCAAUAUCUACGUUGUGUUCCAAAAGUCCGAGUGUUCGAUUCCUCGUGGGGAGA